UACGUAGGGCGCAAGCGUUGUCCGGAAUUAUUGGGCGUAAAGAGCUCGUAGGCGGCUUGUCACGUCGGGGUGUGAAAGCCCGGGGCUUAACCCCCGGGUCUGCAUUCGAUACGGGCUAGCUAGAGUGUGGUAGGGGAGAUCGGAAUUCCUGGUGUAGCGGUGAAAUGCGCAGAUAUCAGGAGGAACACCAAUGGCGAAGGCAGCACUCUGGGACGUGACUGACGCUGAGACGCGAAAGCGUGGGGAGCAAACAGG
rnacentral:rRNA from 1 species